UCGAUAUAUAUUGUUGAUGUGGCAAUCGGUUUUUUUUAAUGACUUACUCAUCACGGUUGGCACGUGGACAGUAACUUUGAGUUGAACAACAUGAUGUGCGUUUUCAUGAGGCUAAUUGAAUACGAGGAAGUGAGAGUAACAAUUGACUCGGUUGAGAUGGAAAUGGAGGUGUUUCGAGCAGGUUUUAUGUUUUUUCUCUUUGGCAUUUGGCCGACUUAAAAUAAGGUUACAAGAGCUGAUGUAACAACAGGGUUGGAAGACUUGUAAGGGUAUUUAUUGAAACAUAUUUAUAUUACAAAAACAAGGGUUUUGAGAGAACACAAUUAUCUCCGGUUCUAUACAAAGAUUAUUUUUCUAACUGCAGAAUAUUUUUGUAAACAAGUAGUGGCAUUCAUAGUACAUAUUUUGUAAUGGGCUAUAAUGUAGAAUAUCUUAUUGCAUAUUAUUAAGAUGUUGUGAUUGCAGAAGAUAAUUGCAAUUACAAGACCUUGAUAGUGUACACUGCUUAUUGAGAAAUUCACUGUAAGGAGAUGUUGCUCCUAUGAAAGUUGAUACUCGUGAUUUUGAGGUGUUGAGUUGGUGCUCCUCCAUUGUAUAGAGUUGGUUCUCUUUGAUGAAAUAAAAGGACAGGUUAU